CCUACGGGCGGCAGCAGUGAGGAAUAUUGGUCAAUGGUCGGGAGACUGAACCAGCCAAGCCGCGUGAGGGAAGAAGGUACUGAGUAUCGUAAACCUCUUUUGUCAGGGAAAAAAGACUGACACGCGUCCCCGGAUGAGUGUACCCUAAGAAAAAGCAUCGGCAAACACCGUUCCAGCAGCCGCGGUAAUACGGCGGAUGCGAGCGUUAUCCGGAUUUAUUGGGUUAAAGGGGUGCGCAGGCGGAUUGGUAAGUGAGCGGUAAAGUCGUGGAGCUAAACUCCGUCCAGCCGUUGAAACUGACGAGCUUGAGUGCGCGAGAAGUAUGCGGAAUGCGUGGUGUAGCGGUGAAAUGCAUAGAUAUCACGCAGAACUCCGAUGGCGAAGGCAGCAUACCGGCGCGCGACUGACGCUGAGGCACGAAAGCGUGGGUAUCGAACAGGAUUAGAUACCCGUGUAGUC
rnacentral:rRNA from 1 species